CUUCUCAGGCAUAGCGCUAAAAUAGCGAUCAAGUCUGAACCAAUAGCUCCGGCGGUGACAUAUGACUGCCAAGUAUUAUGAGGAAGGAAGAGAACCAGCUCAAUAGCAAAAGCAAGACAGGUAAGUAAUGUAGUAAUGAAAACGACUAUGAUAUUGAUGAUGUUGACAGCUUGAUUAACCAAAAAGAUGGAAAAAAAUACAAAUAUCGCACUAAGGAAUGACAAAAAGGCGCUGAUUAUAUGAGUGAUUAAGACUUUGGA